rnacentral:rRNA from 1 species
UACGUAGGGUGCGAGCGUUGUCCGGAAUUAUUGGGCGUAAAGAGCUUGUAGGCGGUUUGUCGCGUCUGCUGUGAAAAUCCGGGGCUCAACCCCGGACUUGCAGUGGGUACGGGCAGACUGGAGUGUGGUAAGGGAGACUGGAAUUCCUGGUGUAGCGGUGGAAUGCGCAGAUAUCAGGAGGAACACCGAUGGCGAAGGCAGGUCUCUGGGCCACUACUGACGCUGAGAAGCGAAAGCAUGGGGAGCGAACAGG